CACACCCGGUAUUACCAGACAUUACCAUGGCUGUUGGGAAAGACAAGGAUGACAAAUUGUUUCAAGACUUACUGCAGUAGAAGUACACCAGACUGCCCCAGGGGUACAAAGAAAGUCCAAGCAUCUUUAAUAGGGUGGUGAAGGACAAUCUCUCAUCCCUGGACCUAGAAAGCACAGUUGUGCAGUAUGUAGAUGGCCAACUGGUCCGCAGCCCCAAUCAGCAGCAGGGCUGAGAAGAUUCACUGAAACUACUAAAACAUCUCACAGAGAAGGGUUACGAACUGGACAAAGCCAAGUUACAGUACGUUAAGAGGCAGUGGAGCCGUAGGCGGAGGUUUCUUUACAGUGCUACGCAGCAGUGACUUACCUGCGAGUCUUCGAAUUACUUCACAAGCCGCAGGUAAUAUGUAAAAUUUAAAUUUAUACUACCAUGCUAUUGUAAAUGUAUCGAAUGCGGCAGCAUGCGAGUUAUAAGACUUUGAGGAAGUGGUAAUGGCCCUUCUUUCAGAAAAUGACAUGUGCUGUGCCUGUCGAGAAAAUGCCUUAAAAGCACUGGAGAAAGUCUUUUCUGCAGUUAUGCAGCUGUUGAAAAGAUUUGGCAGAGAGCAGUCCACCUGAUUCAGCUGCAGUUGAUGCUCUGAUGUUGUUUUGCAACAUAAAUUUUGAGUUUAUGCUUUGUUUGGAGGUGGCCACACCAGUGUUUCAAGAGACUGCUGUUGCAUCAUCUGCUCUUCAGCAUAAAGAUGUGGAUCUGGCAGUGUCAUACGCAGUGGUGGAAGGAGUGCUAAAAAGAAGGAGUACAGUACAAGUACAGUUCCAAGUCAAGAGGAGAAAGCCCAGAGAAUUUGGAGGAGUUCUCCCGAACAAGUGUGUACUACACUUUGGAUAACAUUACUCAAGAGAUCGACGAUUGUCAGACAAUUCCAAUUAAAGGAUAAUAGUUCAACUGGCAUUAUCCUCAAAGACUUUCACAGUCUAACAUUAGCAUGCAAAUGGUCAAAAGGAGUAGAUCCUAGUGAUUUUGAACUUGUGAGUACAGUUAACAAGUUCUGUGGGGUUGAGGGAGUAAAGGUCUUCACAGAACUUAAAGUGUUUCAUGCAACCUACUCCUUCCCCAAAAGCAAUAUCCAGGAAAUGCUCAAGUGCCAAAUAGACAAUGAGAUUGAGACUGUUUUCACCUCUCUUUCACCACACCUACAGUUGGACAGUCAUAAAACACGUGAAAUCCAUACUUCAAAAUGUAUGAAAUGAAGAGAGGCUCUCUGACCUACCGCUACUCUCAGUUGAGCGUGACAUUACAAUUAACCAUGAGGAAGUCAUUAAUUAAUUAUUUAAAAACACAACAGACAGAUGAGUACUCCUUUAAAUACAGGUGAUUUAUUUAAUAAAUAAUUAUGUGACUCAUGAUUAAAGAGUCAAGGUGUAAUCAAGUUGUCUGGACUACCAUGGCUCCGCCCUGUUGAAAGAGACUUUCCCAUGACGGCAUUGAAACUCUUGAAAAAAUUUUUAAAUUGCGACCUGACUUGUCCUGCAACCCAAUAUGGACAGUUCAUCAUUUCUGGAUGGCAAACAGAGAUAUACAGGGUAUGCAGUGGUUGCUCCAGACAGACAUACCAAUGGGUCUGAAUUGGUCCUGUCUGUACAACUUCCUCAACCAUCCUUGGCACAGAUUCCAGAAACAGCAGCAGUUAUAGCUGCUUGCAGAUUGGCAAGGGGAAAAACUUGUACCAUCUACACCAAUUCCACUUAUGCCUACAAUGUGUGCCACACAUAUGCUGCUGUAUGGGCCUCAAGAGGUUUCUGCACAGUUGAUGACAAGCCCAGAUCACAUCUAAAUGAAAUCCAAGAACUAUUGCCAGCCAUUCAUGAACUGCCGCACACAGGUCUGGAGCUGAUUUUACCACAAGGGACAAAGCUGCUGUGGACCAAGUGGCAAAGGCCUCAGCUAGACAUGAAUCUGUGCCUGAAAUGGUUGCAAGAACUGAAAAUCAGAUGCCACUCAGUUACCUUGACCUGCCAAUCCAAGGCUUAAUUAAACCUUCAACAGUUGGCCAGCCCAGAGGAAAGGUCAAUGUGGAUACAAAGGGGGGUGGUUUAUGAUAAAUGGGCCUGUUUUGUAGCUUAGUGUCAGGGAAAGUGGUAGGCCCAGUGAAAUUGUUGACUUUCUUUUGCAGAGUGCUCACUGCAAGGGGGGAAAUGAACAGGUAUAUCGAACAACAUUGGUUUUCACCUUAUUUGCAACUCAUGAUUGACAAUUUCAUUGAUAACUGUGAUAUCUGCAGAAAAUAUAACAUUUCAGCCCCAAAUAGGACACAUCCCUAGACACUUAGGCCCAUUUGAACACAUAUACAUGGACUUUAUUGACAUGACAGAAAGGAAGGAAGGGAAAAGGUACUGUUUAGUAGUGGUAGACAGGUUCUCUAGGUGGGUAGAGGCCUUUCCAUCCAACCACAAUGACACACAGACAGUUGCUAAAUGUUUAGCAAAGGAAGUAAUUCCAAGAUUUGGCAUUCCUAAAAUGAUUAGUUCGGACAAUGGCAGCCAUUUUGUAAACAGUGUAAUUAGCUGCCUAAAAAAACAAUUGGGCAUCAAACAUAAGCUCACCCACAAUCUGAGGGACUAAUAGAAAGAGCAAAUGGAACAAUUAAAUCCAAAUUGGCAAAAAAAUUGUCAUGACACUGGGUUGAACUGGAUAGCUGCGUUACCCCUUGUCCUGGUGAGCAUGAGAUGCUCAAGUAGCCAUAGCACACAUUUGACCCCACAUGAAAUGCUUACCCGAAGACCAAUGCCAAUCCCCUAUGCACAACCGCAGUAUCUAGGCCGUACAGAUAGAACAACUGGAGAAUGCGUUGUCAAACUACUUGAAAGGAAUAACUUCUAUACAUCAGUCCCUGUGUCACCAGGUGAAGGAGGCCAACCAAUCUCACAAAGAACCUGUGAAGCCUGAGAACCUGCCAAAGCCAGAUGACUGGGUCUCUGUGAAGGUGCACAAGAGAAAGUGGGCUGAGCCAAUGGUGCAAGGACCAUACAAGCAUCCCGCAAGUCUUCCUAUGAAACUUGUAACUUCUGAGAAGAAAAUAUUCUGAGCCUGAUAGGGCCCAACAGAGAAGGAGAAAAGCAAGUUCAGAAGCAAUUAACAGUAAGGAAGAGAGGAUUCUGUGGCAGACUGCAAAAGUGGAACUCAAGUCAAAUGUGGAAGAUGGUUAGAACUCUGAUACCCCCACAUAAAGACAAGACAUGGUUUCACCAGGUUCCAGUCCAUUACGCCUGCGCCGCGCAAGCUGAUGACAUCUUAAGGAUUCACCGCCAUGGGCUCAUGUUUGCCAGCACAGCUCCAAGGGACCCGGUUACACCAACAAAUAACACAGACGAUUAACAAUAAAACAUAAAACAAAUGAAAAAUGAGUAUGUGUGAUAUGUCCAGAGGGAAUAAUGGAAGGAGGGUAUGAAAUGUGGACGAAUGACCAAGCGCUAUCAGAUUGCGUGUGCACCCGCUUUCCAAACAGCAUUACGAGGUAACGGAUGGGUGCGUGUGGUGAAUGAAUGUGUGUAAGUGCAUCCAUAUGUG